AACAGUGGAAGACAAGAAGAAGCCAAUAAUAUUGGCUCCUUCUAUACAAAGGAGCUGGGUAGCUAGAUGAUGAGUGGGAGACUUCCAUUUGUACCCUGAAUUUUGAAUAGUGUCAAUUUUAUUCAUUUUUAAAAAUAGAAAUGUAAAGGGAGUGUGCCAGAGAUGUCGGCAUUUUAUUACAAGAGCCAGUAGAAACAAAAUUUCUAAAAACACAGAGAGAAAGCAGACAGCGGAAGGAGGGAAGUCCUUGAGCCCUUGAGGGCAGGGGAUGUAGACUGCAGUGUAGGGAGAGGGAGCUGCCACGGCCAGGAGGAAGGCCACUGAGGACAGGAGGCAGGACGCUGGAGACGUCAGAGCAGGCAAGCGUGUAGGCUGUUGGAACUCAGUCUCACUCAUUAGCAGUCCCAAGACUUCUGCACUGAGGCUGUCCUGAGGAUCUCCAGAGGACUCAACUUAAACCUAUUUUCAACUUUCAAAGGAGAGGCUCUCAGAAGAACAUAGUAAAGACUUCAAUAUUUGUCAAAAGAAGAAAUACGAAAACAUGUUUGGCAGACAGACUCUGUCUCCCAGGCUGGAGUGCAGUGGUGCCCUC